AGCGAACGCUGGCGGCAGGCUUAACACAUGCAAGUCGAGCGGGCAUCCUUGUGGUGUCAGCGGCAGACGGGUGAGUAACGCGUGGGAACGUGCCCUUCGGUUCGGAAUAACUCCGGGAAACUUUAGCUAAUACCGGAUACGUGCGAGAGCAGAAAGGUUUAUCUGCCGAAGGAUCGGCCCGCGUCUGAUUAGCUAGUUGGUGAGGUUAUGGCUCACCAAGGCGACGAUCAGUAGCUGGUCUGAGAGGAUGAUCAGCCACACUGGGACUGAGACACGGCCCAGACUCCUACGGGAGGCAGCAGUGGGGAAUAUUGGACAAUGGGGGCAACCCUGAUCCAGCCAUGCCGCGUGAGUGAUGACGGCCUUAGGGUUGUAAAGCUCUUUUCUCCGGGACGAUAAUGACGGUACCGGAGGAAUAAGCCCCGGCUAACUUCGUG
rnacentral:rRNA from 1 species